GAGUUGGACACCUGAACUUCAUGAGGUUUUUCUUGACGCUGUUAACCAGCUCGGUGGCGGUGGAAAAGCAACUCCUAAGGGUGUGUUGAAGCAUAUGAAUGUCUAAGGUUUGACUAUAUAUCAUGUCAAAAGUCAUUUGCAGAAAUAUUGGACAGCUAAAUAUAUACCAGAACCAUCAGAAGAUAAGGCCUGAUCUCGGAAGGAUCGAGAAAUAGGUGUUACGCAAUGCAUUCGAUGAUGAGAAAAACCCUUAUCUACCAAAGCACAUUCUAUACAGGCAGAAAGAACAGUUCAGUGAUGGAGUAGGAUACAGCUGGAUUGAUGGUCGAAAAGAUCAUGCAAACAAACAUGUCUCUGACACAAUGCUGAUGAACGCAAGCUUUGUCUUCCCUGAUAACACACCUAUGACAAAAGAAGCUUACUACUACAGAACCAUCUUUGAAAAGUUCUUCCCUAAGAGUGCAGCUAGAGCGACUGUACCAGGAGGUCCAAGUGUGGCAUGUAGUACAGAAAAAGCUGUAGAGUGGGACGCAGCUUGGUCACAGAAUCUUGAUCCGUCAGGUCGUGCGGCUCUUGGAGUUCAUGUUGCAGCUUAUGAGGGAGAAGAUAAAUCACAAGAUCCUCGUCCGGGGAAGGUGCAGAAACUAGCAGAGUUGUUUGAGGAUAAGCAAGGUUUAAAAGCUACCGUACUACUUAUCCUCUUUUGUAGGAUUGAUGACUGAAUAGGCAAUCUUUAUUCUUUCCUUCUGGGGUUUUGCAACACUCCAUGGAGACUGAGUUGAGUUAGCCCUGAAUUGUGUACCUAAGUAAUAAGUUGCUGGUGAAUUUAGUUUUCUACAGUUGUUAGACUAUGACUAUCCAUGAAAGCUUGAUGCUACUUGAGAUUAUUAACGUUGUUUUCAUGAAUUCGAUUCUUCCUAAUUUUUUUCUUCUAAACACAAAGUGUUUUGCUCAGUA